UUUUCUGAACAAGGAUCUUUUUGUCUAAGGCGGCUAGGGUUUUUCUUUGACCUUUGCGAUCUGCCUUCUCUCUCUAUAUAUUUGUAUACUGCAUUCCUUCAUUUCCAUUUCUCAUAGUGCACUGCCUCUAUCCAUACCCAACUUCCCAACAUUUACUUACAUUUUCCCCCUUUCUUCUAUUCAAUUCCCAUAUUUCGAACUUCAAGAUUUCUCUAAUUACUCGUUUUUCAUUCAAAUUAUCAUCCGUGGUACUUUGUUAGUCUUAGCCGAGCAGUGAUCGUUCAUUAUCUACAUUCUCAAAUUUUUCAAUUUGGAUUCGUUUGAUACCGUGAACUUAUGCCGACAGUGAUGCCAUUGGGAUUUGCCUGAAUUUCCCAUGAAUGAUUGACAAUUCGAGCCACAUUCCGAUUUCGAACAACAACAACAAUCGCCUCCAUUCAAAAGACCUAGGCAUUCUGAGGAUAACCAGUCUAAUAUUGUGCGAUGUACUCCUACCAAUCAUACUAAUCUGAGGAUGCCCCUAAAUUCUCCGAUCAACAAGGGAACCAUAAAUAUUUUCUUCAAAACUCAA